rnacentral:rRNA from 1 species
AGGCUUUGAUCCUGGCUCAGGAUGAACGCUGGCGGCGUGCUUAACACAUGCAAGUCGAGCGGAGUCACUUAAUUGAAGUCUUCGGAUGGACGUUAUUUGACUUAGCGGCGGACGGGUGAGUAACGCGUGGGCAACCUGCCCUGGACAGAGGAAUAACAUUGGGAAACCAGUGCUAAUACCUCAUAUUCCCUUUUAGUGGCAUCGCUUUAAGGGGAGAGAUUUAUCGGUACAGGAUGGGCCCGCGUCUGAUUAGUUAGCUGGUGAGGUAAUGGCUCACCAAGACGAUGAUCAGUAGCCGACCUGAGAGGGUGAUCGGCCACACUGGAACUGAGACACGGUCCAGACUCCUACGGGAGGCAGCAGUGGGGAAUAUUGCACAAUGGGGGAAACCCUGAUGCAGCAACGCCGCGUGAGCGAUGAAGGCCUUCGGGUCGUAAAGCUCUGUCCUAAGGGAAGAAAAAGACGGUACCUUAGGAGGAAGCCCCGGCUA